AAGGUCAACUGACUGCUGAAGAUUUGAGCUCCUCUUUUUUCGUGCAAAGUGACUGCUGGUUAAGCUAGAGACUCUUUCCUAGUCCCUGGCAUCUUUGGAAGGGCUAGGGGGGGUUGUGACUACAUACAUUUUAUUGGACUGCCUCACCCAUGGAACACACUCGGUAAUUCAAAUUCCACCAAGAGUGAGCUACAAAAGACUGUCCAAAUUCUUUGCAACUCAGUAAAUAAAUGCAUCACUUUGUACCAUGUCUUUGAAACUACGCCCAUCGGCUCCUGUGGACGGAAGCCAGAUGCCAUCUAAGAUGUCUGACUAACCUGAGGCCACCAUGUUAUAAGGAAGCCCAAGAUAGCCAUGUGGCGAGAGAGGGGCCAUGCUGAAGAUCACUGAGGUGCCUGUCAUAUACUCUCUUUAGUUGGACGUGACUGAAGCGACUUAGCACACGCACUCUCUUCAGAUCAAGGACUCCUGACUGAACAGCCUGUUACACUGACAGCAAGGAACUUGCUCCCUGAUCUGCAUAAGAGCUGAGUUUCCAGAGCACCUAGAGCUGAGAGUUGGCUGGCUGGCUGGAACAGAAUCCCUAAGAGGUA